CAGUAGCCGCGGGAAUACAGAGGGUGCGAGCGUUAAUCGGAUUUACUGGGCGUAAAGCGUGCGUAGGCGGCUUCUUAAGUCGGAUGUGAAAUCCCUGAGCUUAACUUAGGAAUUGCAUUCGAUACUGGGAAGCUAGAGUAUGGGAGAGGAUGGUAGAAUUCCAGGUGUAGCGGUGAAAUGCGUAGAGAUCUGGAGGAAUACCGAUGGCGAAGGCAGCCAUCUGGCCUAAUACUGACGCUGAGGUACGAAAGCAUAAGGAGCAAACAGGAUUAGAUACCCCGGUAGUCCCUGUCUCUUAUAC
rnacentral:rRNA from 1 species